CCUACGGGUGGCAGCAGUAGGGAAUCUUCCACAAUGGGCGAAAGCCUGAUGCAGCAACGCCGCGUGGGUGAUGAAGGUCUUCGGAUCGUAAAACCCUGUUGUCAGAGAAGAAAGUGCGCGAGAGUAACCGUCCACGAUUCGACGGUAUCUAACAAGAAAGCCACGGCUAACUUCGUGCCAGCAGCCGCGGUAAUACGUAGGUGGCAAGCGUUAAUCGGAUUUAUUGGGCGUAAAGGGAACGCAGGCGGUCUGUUAAGUCUGGUGUGAAAUCCGUCGGCUUAACCGGGGUAGUGCAUUUGAAACUGGGAUACUUGAGUGCGGGAGAGGAGAGUGGAACUCGAGGUGUAGCGGUGAAAUGCGUAGAUAUAUGGAAGAACACCAGUGGCGAAGGCGGCGCUCUGG
rnacentral:rRNA from 1 species